GAUGAACGCUGGCGGCGUGCUUAACACAUGCAAGUCGAGCGAGAAGUUUUGAACAGAUUCUUCGGGUGAAAUUUAAAAUGGAAAGCGGCGGACGGGUGAGUAACGCGUAGGCAACCUGCCCCAUACAAAGGGAUAGCAUUUGGAAACGAAUAUUAAUACCUUAUGAAACUUAACUAGUGCAUGCUAGGUAGGUCAAAGAUUUAUCGGUAUGGGAUGGGCCUGCGUCUGAUUAGCUAGUUGGUGAGGUAACGGCUCACCAAGGCGACGAUCAGUAGCCGACCUGAGAGGGUGAACGGCCACAUUGGAACUGAGACACGGUCCAAACUCCUACGGGAGGCAGCAGUGGGGAAUAUCGCACAAUGGGGGAAACCCUGAUGCAGCAACGCCGCGUGAACGAUGAAGGCCUUUGGGUCGUAAAGUUCUGUUCUAGGUGAUGAAAACUGACAGUAACCUAGAGAAAGCCCCGGCUAACUCCGUG
rnacentral:rRNA from 1 species